rnacentral:misc_RNA from 1 species
GAUGAAGAACGUAGCGAAAUGCGAUACUUGGUGUGAAUUGCGGAAUCCCGUGAACCAUCGAGUCUUUGAACGCAAGUUGCGCCCGAAGCCACUAGGCCGAGGGCACGCCUGCCUGGGCGUCACACGCCGUUGCCCCCCCAUCUACUCCUUCGGGAUUGCGGGGGGGCGGAUGAUGGCCUCCCGUGCGCCUAGCCGCGCGGUUGGCAUAAAUACCAAGUCCUCGGCGACGCACGCCACGACAAUCGGUGGUUGCGAAACCUCGGUUGCCCGUCGUGUGCGUUCGUCGCGCAUCGAGGGCUCGAAAAAAUGCUCGGCUCCGGCUGGGCUUUCAACGCGACCCCAGGUCAGGCGGGGUUACCCGCUGAAUUUAAGCAUAUCAAUAAGCGGAGGA